rnacentral:rRNA from 1 species
CAGUCGAACGGGAUUUAGUAAACAGAAGCCUCGGUGGAAGAUUACUAAUGCGAGUGGCGAACGGGUGAGUAACGCGUGAGCAACCUGCCUAUGACAGUGGGAUAGCCUCGGGAAACCGGGAUUAAUACCGCAUAAAAUCGUAGAAACACAUGUUUUAACGGUCAAAGAUUUAUCGGUCAUAGAUGGGCUCGCGUCUGAUUAGCUAGUUGGUGAGAUAACAGCCCACCAAGGCGACGAUCAGUAGCCGGUCUGAGAGGAUGAACGGCCACAUUGGAACUGAGACACGGUCCAAACUCCUACGGGAGGCAGCAGUGGGGAAUAUUGCACAAUGGGGGAAACCCUGAUGCAGCGACGCCGCGUGAACGAAGAAGGUAUUCGUAUCGUAAAGUUCUGUCCUAUGGGAAGAUAAUGACAGUACCAGAGAAGAAAGCUCCGGCUAAAUACGUGCCAGCAGCCGCGGUAAUACGUAUGGAGCGAGCGUUGUCCGGAAUUAUUGGGCGUAAAGGGUACGCAGGCGGUUUAAUAAGUCGAAUGUUAAAGAUCGGGGCUCAACCCCGUAAAGCAUUGGAAACUGAUAAACUUGAGUAGUGGAGAGGAAAGUGGAAUUCCUAGUGUAGUGGUGAAAUACGUAGAUAUUAGGAGGAAUACCAGUAGCGAAGGCGACUUUCUGGACACAAACUGACGCUGAGGUACGAAAGCGUGGGGAGCAAACAGGAUUAGAUACCCUGGUAGUCCACGCCG